AGACCGUAUGAAAUAUUGAGAAGUAAAUCAUAUUUUGGCUUCAGUAAAAAUGAUUAAAUAACCUGACGUUUUCUUUGAGGCACACAGCAGACUGAAAGAAGGAGCUCGGGAGGAGUGGAGAAGGGGAGAUAAAGGGAGAACGGGGAAACGAGAGGGACAGACGAGCUGAAUACCUACAUCGCGACUUUUAGCUGUUCUGUAAGCCGAGCUGAAUGAAAUAUCACAUCACAUCCUGCAAAGAAAUAAAAAUCAGCGUCAGUAAAAAUACACAUAAGAAAUAAGCAAGAAGCAGGCAGAGAUGAAACAGGAAGUAAAACGCACACAGGCACAUAAACACACACACACACGCACACACACACACACUGAUAAAGGCAAGAAACGCUCGCAGCGUCAAAAGACAAUGACGAUGCAGGUUCCUGAAGUCCGGAGUAAGGUGCGGAAUGUAGACUGUGGUGUUAGCAUCGGUAUACAGGAGCUGAGCAAAUAUAGAAUACAAACAAAAAA